rnacentral:rRNA from 1 species
CCCACGGGAGGCUGCAGUGGGGAAUAUUGGACAAUGGGGGGAACCCUGAUCCAGCCAUGCCGCGUGUGUGAAGAAGGCCCUCGGGUUGUAAAGCACUUUCAGUGAGGAAGAACGCCUGGUGGUUAAUACCCAUCAGGAAAGACAUCACUCACAGAAGAAGCACCGGCUAACUCCGUGCCAGCAGCCGCGGUAAUACGGAGGGUGCGAGCGUUAAUCGGAAUUACUGGGCGUAAAGCGCGCGUAGGUGGCUUGAUAAGCCGGUUGUGAAAGCCCCGGGCUCAACCUGGGAACGGCAUCCGGAACUGUCAAGCUAGAGUGCAGGAGAGGAAGGUAGAAUUCCCGGUGUAGCGGUGAAAUGCGUAGAGAUCGGGAGGAAUACCAGUGGCGAAGGCGGCCUUCUGGACUGACACUGACACUGAGGUGCGAAAGCGUGGGUAGCAAACAGGAUUAGAUACCCUGGUAGUC